ACCUCCCCAGCAAAAAGGGACUGGAGACCUCAGGGAGCUCAGAGCAGGUUUCCUGGAGCAGUAUGUCUUCAUCCACAGCAACUGAAAGGACACUGAAAAGCAGAAGGCCCUUAAAAAGUAAGAUUACUCUGAAUGAGGGCUGUCCUCAUGGAUUACUACUAGAUUUUGAUGCCAGAAGGCAUAAUCAGAUAGGUUAGCCCUAUGAAUAAUACACACGUGGUAAUGGAUCCAGCUCAUCUCCUCUCUGUACUCAGGAUCUUGUUGAUCUGCUAAAAAGAGACUAAUGAAAAUAAGGAAUGUCUACAUCUUUCUGGGAUCUUGUUUGCUUUCUGUGGAGAGCUGUCACCAUUUCUUACCUGAACUGGGCCAGCAAUGGAAUUGUAGUAGAUUAAACUAUUUAAUAACUUACUUUAUACAUGGAGACAUUUUUCUCAAAUAUUGAGGUCACACAGCAGCUCUUUCUGAUGGCAUCACUGAUGAAGGAACAUCCUGUUAGAUUGCUGCUGCUCCUGGAUUAUCCUAGAAGCAGCAGAGAUUGUAACAUCCACAACCUCUGUCAUAGCUGAGAUUUCUCUGUAAUGUAGAAGAAGCUACAGUGAAAGAUGUUUUCUAUGUCCCCCAUCAUUAAACAAGCAAGAAAAGUGAGUUUUUUACUCAGCCAGGGUUGGCUGAGAAAUUUCAUAUCAUCGGCCUUUUUUGUUGAAGUGAGGAAACCAAAGCCUGUUCAUCUCAUAUUUUUUUAGACAUCUUGUUGAAGAUCAGUUUCAUGAUGAAUUUAAUCUGACCUAAAAACAGCCUGAUACUGAGAUGCAUGGUCCAGCUUUCACCACAUUUCUGCUGCUUCUUUUCCAUUACCAAGUUAAAUCAAUUCAAAGUUAAUCCUGGAAGAAUAUCAUGAGUUUUAAGCAACAUUAGUGCAUUGACCUGAUCUCCUUGAGACUGAGCAAGUCACUGUAGCUGCUGCAAGGGAGAGGGCAGAGACAAUCAGUUCUGAGUGGGAUGGAAAGGAGAAAGACACGACUGCUCUUUUCCAGGGCAACAGUAUUAGAUCAACUUUAAAACAGUGAUAUCAAAGUCAAAGCUGGUGUCAGAUUUAGGUGCUCUGAAUUAUGACUAGGACUACCUAGGCUUUGUACAUUUCUCUCCUCUCUUCAACAACUUUACAGUAAAGGAAAACAAAUAUACUGUAUAAAAGACCAGUGAUAAAAGACAUAUUCCAUAAAUGACCAUUU